GAAUUUCUCCGCAGCAGCACCUGGGAGACUGGGAUUUGUGGUCCAGCGGGGCCAAGCUCUCCUGGAUGAAUGGGGGAAUCCUCCGGCCCUCGUUGAACCUUCUCUUCUUCACCUGCAGGCAGGGAGUGAUGUGCUCUGAAGACAGAGGAAGGAGCCAGGAGCCACGAAAUGCAAGCGGCCACUGGAAGCUGAAAAAGCAAGGGAACGGAUUCUCUUCUCAGAACCUCCAGAAGGAAGCAGCCCAGCUGACACCUUGCCUUCAGCCCAGUAAAAGUGAUUCCAGACUUCUGACCUCCAGAGCUGUAAGGGGCCAAGGCUGAUGUGCACCCUGGGUCAGACCUCCUGCCACGCCUGAGGGAGGCCACAUGGAGGCCCAGAGAGCCUUGGGCCUGGAGAG